GCACACUUGUUUUCUUCAUGUCUGAUCAUUUCCUCAGGCUCUCCAGAAUUGUUGUGGUCUGCUUUCAAGUUCUGAGCCUAGCUGCAUGCCAGAAUCACACCAUCUGAGGCUUAAUGAAUCAGCAUCUCCAAGAUCAGCAAAAGUGCUGCUAUCAAAGACAGGUAGAAUGACUCCUGUCUCUAGCUGCUUUCCUGGCGCUUGAGCUAUGGAGUGAUAAUACAAGUUGGGAGGACUCAACAGAAGCCAGGGUUGCCAGAUAAAAUAGAAGAUACCAGGCUGGGUGUGGUGGCUCACACCUAUGAUCCCAGCAAUUUGGGAAGCUGAGGCAGGUGGAUCACUUGAGGUCCGGCCAACAUGGUGAAAUCCCAUCUCUACUAAAAAUAAAAAAGUGAGCCGGUCGUGGUGGCGUGCUCCUGUAAUCCCAGCUACUCAGUAGGCUGUGGCAUAAGAACUGCUUGAACCUGGGAGGUGGAGGUUGCAGUGAGCCGAGAUCGCACCACUGCACUCCAGCCUGGGCGACAGAGCGAGACUCCAUCUAAAAAAAAAAAAGGAAAAAAAAAAAAAAUAUAUAUAUACACACACACAAACACACACACACACAUAUAUGAUACCUAGUUAAAUUUGACUUUCUUAUAAACAAAUAACUUUUUAGUAUAAGCAUGUCCCAAGU
rnacentral:lncRNA from 1 species